CAUUGCAAUAAAGCAAGUAUCACAAAAAAGCAAAGUCAGACAAAUAUUUUGGUUUCCCAGUGCAUAUCAAACUUAUGUUUCUGCUGAGACCGUGUCCACCCUUCGAGCACAGAGCCUCGCCCUCGCCGCUCCACCUCCCAUCCACACCUGCCGCCAGCUCACCACGGAUGAUGAUAUCACCAUGCUUGUUGACAACGGCUCCAGCAUGUGCAAGGCCGGCUUUGCAAGUGACAAUGCCCAUCCUGGGCCACCUUCCCCUCUAUCGUGGGGCACCCCAGGCACCAGGGUGUGAUUGUGGGCAUGGGUCAGAAGGACUCACGUGGGCGAUGAGGCCCAGAGCAAGAGAGGCAUCCUGACCCUGAAGUACACCAUUCGAGCAGGACAUCGUCACCACCUGGGACGACAUGGAGAAGAUCUGGCACCACACCUUCUACAACGAGCUGUGUGUGGCUGCCAAGGAGCACCCCAUGCUGCUGACCAAGGCCCCCUGAACCCUAAGGCCAACCGCAAGAAGAUGACCCAGAUCAUGUUUGAGAUCUUCAACACACCAGUCAUGUACGUAGCCAUCCAGGCCGUGCUGCCCCUGUACACCUCUGGCCAUACCAUUGACAUCGUGAUGGACUCCAGUAACGGGGUCACCCACACUGUGCCCAUCUACAAGGAGUAUGCCCUCCCCUACGCCAUCCUGCAUGUGGACCUGGCUGGCCCGGACCUGAUUGACUACCUUAUGAAGAUCCUCACCUAGCACAGCUACAUCUUCACCGCCACAGCCAAGUGAGAAAUGGUGCAUGACAUCAAGGAGAGGCUGUGCUAUGUCACCCUGGACUUCGAGCAGGAGAGGGCCAUGGUGGCCUCCAGCUCCUCCCUGGAGAUAGCUACAAGCUGCCCAAUAGCCAGGUCAUCACCAUCGGCAACAAGCAGUUCCGCUGCCCCGAGGUGCUCUUCCAGCCUUCCUUCCUGGGCAUGGAAUCCUGUGGCAUCCAUGAAACUACCUUCAACUCCAUCAUGAAGUGUGAUGUGGACAUUCUCAAGGACCUGUAUGCCAACACAGUGCUGUCUGGCGGCACCACCAUGUACCCUGGCAUCGCUGAUAGGAUGCAGAAGAUCACCGCCCUGGCGCCCAGCAUGAUGUAGAUCAAGAGUAUUGCUCCUGCCAAGCGCAGGUACUCCAUGUGAAUCGGCAGCUCCGUCCUGGCCCAGCUGUCCACCGUCCGGCAGAUGUGGCUCAGGAAGCAGGAAUACAACAAGUCAGGCACCUCCAUCGUCCACCGCAAAUGCUUCUAGGUAGACUGUGAUGUAGUUGCGUUACACCCUUUCUUGACAAAACCUAACUUGCGCAGAAAACAAGAUGUGCAGAAAACAAGAUGAGAUUGGCAUGACUUUUUUUAUUUUGUUUUGUUUUGUUUGGCUUGACUCAGGAUUUAAAAACUGGAAUGGUGAAGGUGACAGCAGUUGGUUGGAGCAAGCAUCCCCCAAAGUUCUACAAUGUGGCGAGAGACUUUGAUUGUACAUGUUUUUUAAUAGUCAUUCCAAAUAUGGUGAGAUGCAUUGUUACAGGAAGUCCCUUGCCCUCCUAAAAGCCACCCCACUUCUCUCUAAGGAGAAUGGCCCAAUCCUCUCCCAUGUCCACACAGGGGAGGUGAUAGCACUGCUUUCGUGUAAAUUAUGUAAUGCAACAUUUUUUAAAUCUUCGCCUUAAUACUUCGUUAUUUUGUUUUAUUUUGAAUGCUCGGCCUUCGUGGCCCUCCUUUUUUGUCCCCCAACUUGAGAUGUAUGAAGGCUUUUGGUCUCCCUGGGAGUGGGUGGAGGUAGCCAGGGCAUACCCAUACACUGACUUGAGACCAGUUGAAUAAAAGUGCAUGCCUUAAAAAAAAACACUUAUGUUUCCACUAUAUUGUAGUCUGUUCAGUGUGCAGUAGCAUAUGUCUUAAAAAACAACACACAUACCUUCCUUAAAAAAUACUU